AAACAAAGAACUCGCAGUCUAACUAAAACCUAAUACCGCCACUGUGGCUCGAAAGCAGUAACCUAGAACUAAAUUAAUACCUUUCCUGUAACAGUGUCUAUCUAAAUCACUGACCUUUCCUGGAACGUGGGCUAAGUAUCUUGGAUUUAGGACAUUGGACAAACUUCAAAAGUCAUUCUGGAAAGGGAAAAACGUUAAUGAAAGACUGACAAGUGACAGUGACUGGGCAAGACUGCGAUAAAAAUGAUAUACAGGUAAUUAGGAGAGAGGUGACAGAAGACGAUAAUUCAAAUAAUUCAAGAACAGGAGCCAAGCAGGAACAGGAACUUCGGCCAGCUGGACUGGACUGCAUCAGGCAGAAUGGGACAGUUGGCCUUUUGUCACCAUUCGGAGUGGAUGAAGCUGACUUCUUUGAGCUGAAAUGAGGCAUCUCAUCUCCAUCCUGGUAGUUGGGCUGCUGAUGUCCCCUUUCCUGCACUCUCAAAUGCCCGAGGAUGAAGUGAUAAAGCUUUGUGAACCAGACUAUGCAAUAAAACUCACUGUCCUCUGCCAAAAAUUGAAAACUGACGUUAACCAUUUACAUGUUGGAGUCGAAGAUCCCCUCCAGAACCUGACCAAAUUGGAGUACAUCAAGGAUAAGUACAUGAAGAAGAUUAAAAGCAUUUUUGACAGGGACAGGAAUCAGCUACUCAAGAUGCAUAAUGCACAGCAACCAAUUUACAAUCCAUACAACCAAAACAAGCCAAAACCAAAAGCUGGUUAUGAAUCUGUCUUUCAGACCAGCCGAGAUUCCAUAAUGCAACCUGCUAAACGAAGUUAUGCUAAUGAUUCUAAAAAGAGUAAUAAACAAUUGUUGUAUAGUGACCUAUGCUGUAUUAAUGGGUGUACCAAGGCUGUGAUCCUCACUGAACUCUGUUCCUCAAAAUAAUAGUGUAUUUCCAUGUUUGUGAAAUACUGUAUAUGUGGAAUCAGAAUCAAUCUAGUUAUAGAGUCAUGGAGUCAUAAAGAAUAUAACAUGGAUACAGGCCCUUUGACCCAAUCCUUACCAACUAUGGUGCCCAUUCAGCUAGUCCCAAUUUCCUACAUUUGGCCCAUAUCCCUCCUACUCUGAUACCAUUGUAUCUGCCUCAACUUCUUCCUCUGGCAGCUCAUUCCAUAGUCUCACAACCCCCUUUAUGAAAGUGUUGCCCCUCAGCUCCCUUUAAAUUGUUUCACCUUUCACCCUAAGUCUAUGCCCCAUAUUCUCCCAUCCUGUGGAAAAGAUUGUUACCAUCCAUCUUAUCCAUGCCUGUCAUAAUUUUAAACAUUUUUAUAAGGUCACCCCUGAUUCUCCUGUGCUCCAAGGAAUAAAGACCUAGAAUGGCUAACCUCUCCCUGUAACCCAGGCCCUCUAGUCCUGGCAACAUCCCCGUACAUCCUUUCUGCACAAUCAAUCUCGGUUAGCUCCUGUCUACACCUCCUGCCCCCCCCCCCCACCAAAAUGAAUGCUGCUCCAGUUGAGGGUAGUCACCUGUGGACCUGUUCAAUCCUUUUCUAUCGCUAUUUUAAAACUAAUGAAAUUAUGGUCACAAGAGCCAAAAUGCUUCAUUCUCACAUUGGAGGUCCAGUAUUGCACUUUCUUAAGUAGGGACCUCUAUGUAUUAACUCAGGAAAUUCCACCCUGUUCAUGUCCUUAACACAAAGGAAGUUAAAAUUUCCCAUUAAUACAACCCUACCAUUCUUACAACGAUGGGCAAUUUCUCUACACCCCUACAUCUUAAAUUCCCUUUGGCUAGUGGAGGAUCUAUAAUACAACCAUACUAGAAUGACCUUACCCUUGUUGUUUCUAAGUUCUAUCCUUAAGGUCUCAGUGGAUGACUCCCCAAAACUGUCAUCUCUAAGCACAACUGUUACGCCAUCCCUUAUCAAAAAGGCUAUAUCCCUCCUCGCUUACUUGUGCCUCUGUCAUACCUGUAACAUCUGUGUCCUGGAAUACUGAGAGGCCAACCCUGCUCUUCUCUCAGUUAUGUUUCUGUAAUGGGUAUAACAUCCCCAUCAGAGCCAUUCCAUCUCUGAGUUUGUCUGCCUUAUUUGUUAACUUAAAGCAUUGCAAUAAAAGUGAUUAACUGAG